rnacentral:misc_RNA from 1 species
UCCGUCUCAGUUAGUUCCAUCGCCGAAGGAAAGAAAGAAACAGGCGAGUCAUUAUAAUCAUAUAUCUUCUUAUCUUAUUUAUUAAAACGGCGACGGCGCGAGGGAGAAAAAAAAAAAAAAAGAAAAUUCUGAUUUUGUUCCUUUUCUUGUUGGCAAAUCUCUCGAUCUCCAUUCUUCUCCUCUUCAGGGGGAUUCUCUCUCUAUCUGCUGCUCUGCGCAUUAUACAAUUUCAAGGAAUUUGUGGCCAACUGCUGCUGAUGCUGAUGCUGAAUUGGGUAGAAUGGAACGCAGAGUCUGAAUAAAAGACGAGCAAGAAAAAAGAAGAAUUUUGUCCAUUAGAAUUGGAUGGGUAAUAAGCUGGGAAGGAGCAGACAAGUGGUUGAUGAGAGGUAUACGAGGCCACAGGGCCUCUAUGCUCACAAAGAUGUCGACCAUAAGAAGCUUAGAAAGCUCAUUCUUGAAUCCAAGCUCGCACCAUGUUAUCCUGGGGAUGAUGAUUUUUGCAAUGAUCACGAAGAAUGCCCCAUUUGCUUCUUGUAUUA